AGCCUGGUGGUGUAGCGGUCAAGCAUCCAGGGCUCUGAAUCCUGGGACGACGGUUCGAAUCCGUCCCAGGCUACCA
rnacentral:tRNA from 1 species